UACGAAGGGGGCUAGCGUUGCUCGGAAUGACUGGGCGUAAAGGGCGCGUAGGCGGCUCAUACAGUCAGAUGUGAAAUUCCUGGGCUCAACCUGGGGACUGCGCUUGAGACGUGUGGGCUUGAGUGGGGAAGAGGGUCGUGGAAUUCCCAGUGUAGAGGUGAAAUUCGUAGAUAUUGGGAAGAACACCGGUGGCGAAGGCGGCGACCUGGUCCUUGACUGACGCUGAGGCGCGAAAGCGUGGGGAGCAAACAGG
rnacentral:rRNA from 1 species